rnacentral:rRNA from 1 species
ACGGCUCAGUAACACGUGGGUAACCUACCCUGGCGUGGGGGAUAACCCGCCGAAAGGCGGGCUAAUACCGCAUACGAUCACCUAUCUCUGGGUGGGUGAGGAAAGCAGUGAUGUGCGCUAGGCUGGGCCUGCGGCCGAUUAGCUAGUUGGUGGGGUAAGGGCCUACCAAGGCGAUGAUCGGUAGCUGGUCUGAGAGGAUGAUCAGCCAGACUGGGACUGUGACACGGCCCAGACUCCUACGGGAGGCAGCAGUUAGGAAUCUUGGGCAAUGGGCGGAAGCCUGACCCAGCAACGCCGCGUGGGUGAUGAAGGCCUUCGGGUCGUAAAGCUCUUUUCCCGGGGAAGAUGAUGACGGUACCCGGGGAAUAAGCCCCGGCUAACUACGUGCCAGCAGCCGCGGUAAUACGUAGGGGGCGAGCGUUGUCCGGAUUUAUUGGGCGUAAAAGGCUUGUAGGCGGCCACGCCGCGUCGGACGUGAAAUCUCCCGGCUCAACUGGGAGGGGUCGUGCGAUACGGGCGGGCUCGAGGCCGGUAGGGGGACGCGGAAUUCCCGGUGUAGUGGUGGAAUGCGUAGAUAUCGGGAGGAACACCAGUGGCGCAGGCGGCGUCCUGGACCGGCACUGACGCUGAGGAGCGAAAGCGUGGGGAGCGAUCCGGAUUAGAUACCCGGGUAGUCCACGCCGUAAACGGUGCGCACUAGGUGUCGGGGGUAUCGACCCCUCCGGUGCCGCAGCUAACGCAUUAAGUGCGCUGCCUGGGGAGUACGGCCGCAAGGCUAAAACUCAAAGGAAUUGGCGGGGGAGCAC